AAGAAGGUGGCAGAAUGGCUAUGUGACUGGCUUGAAACUAGUUCAUGGGGGUUCGAUUCCUCCCUUUCUCG
rnacentral:tRNA from 1 species